rnacentral:rRNA from 1 species
AUUGAACGCUGGCGGCAGGCCUAACACAUGCAAGUCGAACGGUAACAGGAAACAGCUUGCUGUUUCGCUGACGAGUGGCGGACGGGUGAGUAAUGUCUGGGAAACUGCCUGAUGGAGGGGGAUAACUACUGGAAACGGUAGCUAAUACCGCAUAACGUCGCAAGACCAAAGAGGGGGACCCUCGGGCCUCUUGCCAUCGGAUGUGCCCAGAUGGGAUUAGCUUGUUGGUGGGGUAACGGCUCACCAAGGCGACGAUCCCUAGCUGGUCUGAGAGGGUGACCAGCCACACUGGAACUGAGACACGGUCCAGACUCCUACGGGAGGCAGCAGUAGGGAAUAUUGCACAAUGGGCGCAAGCCUGAUGCAGCCAUGCCGCGUGUAUGAAGAAGGCCUUCGGGUUGUAAAGUACUUUCAGCGGGGAGGAAGGGAGUAAAGUUAAUACCUUUGCUCAUUGACGUUACCCGCAGAAGAAGCACCGGCUAACUCCGUG